GUGUCCCACGACCAACAUUCAAUUUUCUGUCCAAAAGGGUUUUUAAACCUAUUAUCUAUAUGCUAUUCAUGUGUGCUUUGAGAUCAACUAACCUAAAUUCUGCUCAUAUCAUACUAUAAUGGGCAUAAUGUCCGUCUGUCCGUCUGUACUCACAUCACGGCCAAACGGUUGGGCUGAUUGGCAUGAAACUUUGUAGGGGUGUUUAGGAGGUCUCUAGGGUGGUUUGUAUAUAAGUUUAGUCCCUCCCCACCCGCCUAUUUUCAGAGAAAUUCCAUCAAUUGAGAUAUCUUUGGCACCCGGAUAACUUUGGCAGAAGGAAUAGGGUGGCCUAUACCCUCCUAAAGAGACAUGCUUGACCUCCUCCUUCUGCCCCUGCCCCAUCACCACCCUCUACCUGUGUAAUACCAUCAAUUGAGGCAAAUUCGGCACCCGGAUGUAAGUUUUGUAAGAGGAAUAGAGAGGCCUACCUUCUCCCCAAGAGAUCAGUCCAACCUCCUCUAAAUCCACCUGCCCCCGCCCCACCCCAACCCAACCCCUUCUUCCUCUAUUGAGUUAUAUAGUUGAAUGAAGUAACUUUGGGAACCUAUGAGUGUGAGAGUCACAUCUCUCCUUUCGAACACAUGAACAGUUUCAAAACAUUGUUUACAAAAUAAUAGCUGAUCAUUUGCAAAGGAGCGUGUCUACAGUCAACACUUAGGAUUUUUGUUCUGAGUCAAUUUGCUGUGAAUUUGAUUUAUACCCAAUGAUUGAUCUAGCAUCAGUGGAUAUAGUUAUUGGAUAUGACCCAUUAUACCCAUGUGGGCAAAAGAGAUUCGCCAGAAAGAAGCAACUACAAAGACAAACAUCGUCGGCGACAAUAAUCAAAUAGAUUUGGUUACUAUGACCUAAUUGACCAGAUGAGGAAAAUAAAUAAAUGUGAAGAAGCAAAGUAUUACGAAGUCCCUUGUUACUAGCUAGAAACGGAGGCUGUCGACGUGUUUGUACACGUAUGCAGUUAUUUAGAUACAUCACAGCUGAUCAAAGUUGCAGGUCAGGCCUGACAGAAAGAGAUUUCGCUGCUGCUUCAGCGUAUGGAACGACUUGGUGCGUGUGUAAUCCAAACCCUUCACAGAUACUCACACAAUCGUAAAUAAAAUAAAAUUAAAAAUCA